rnacentral:rRNA from 1 species
GACGAACGCUGGCGGCGUGCUUAACACAUGCAAGUCGAACGGAAAGGCCCUGCUUUUGUGGGGUGCUCGAGUGGCGAACGGGUGAGUAACACGUGAGUAACCUGCCCUUGACUUUGGGAUAACUUCAGGAAACUGGGGCUAAUACCGGAUAGGAGCUCCUGCUGCAUGGUGGGGGUUGGAAAGUUUCGGCGGUUGGGGAUGGACUCGCGGCUUAUCAGCUUGUUGGUGGGGUAGUGGCUUACCAAGGCUUUGACGGGUAGCCGGCCUGAGAGGGUGACCGGCCACAUUGGGACUGAGAUACGGCCCAGACUCCUACGGGAGGCAGCAGUGGGGAAUAUUGCACAAUGGGCGGAAGCCUGAUGCAGCAACGCCGCGUGCGGGAUGACGGCCUUCGGGAUGUAAGCCGCUUUCGCCUGUGACGAAGCGUGAGUGACGGUAAUGGGUAAAGAAGCACCGGCUAACUACGUG